rnacentral:rRNA from 1 species
GAUGAACGCUAGCUACAGGCUUAACACAUGCAAGUCGCAGGGUAACAUGAGGAAAGCUUGCUUUCCUUGAUGACGACUGGCGCACGGGUGAGUAACGCGUAUCCAACCUUCCCAUAACUACGGGAUAACCCGUUGAAAGACGGCCUAAUACCGUAUGAUAUCGUUUGCUGACAUCAAAUAACGAUUAAAGGUUUAGCGGUUAUGGAUGGGGAUGCGUCUGAUUAGCUUGUUGGCGGGGUAACGGCCCACCAAGGCGACGAUCAGUAGGGGUUCUGAGAGGAAGGUCCCCCACAUUGGAACGGAGACACGACCCAAACUCCUACGGGAGGCAGCAGUGAGGAAUAGUGGUCAAUGGGCGAGAGCCUGAGCCAGCCAAGUAGCGUGCAGGACGACGGCCCUAUGUGUGGUAAACUGCUUUUAUGUGGGGAUAAAGUGCGUGACGUGUCAUGCAUUGCAGGUACCACAUGAAUAAGGACCGGCUAAUUCCGUG